rnacentral:lncRNA from 1 species
GCAAAGUUCUAUGCCCCUUCGCUUUUUCGCUUGCUGUAUUUUUUUCUAAAUAAAUAUAUUCUAAAACUAUAUAUGCCAUUUGUAGUCUAUUAAAUUCUGCGCACGAUUGUACCAACUUUUCUUACAUGCGUGCUAGCAAACGAGAGAAAACUGCAUCCGAACUUUCAACAAUGAUCCGAAAUAUUGUAGUCCUUAUUGUGCUUUUUUGUAAAUAUGUUAUUUAUAAAUAGCUCUUACUCGGGUUGGAGGCUUGUUGAAUAUCAAUCUGACUAAAGUACAUCUCGUAUUACGCUACACAUAGGAUCUAGUGUUUCAUCUAGCGCUAUUUAGCCUGGCGCAGCGCCAGGCCCUUUUAAGCCCCGCCCACUUGCCCUAACUGCCGCCCGAAACUCUUAAAGUGCCCUUUUUUCACUCCGCCCACCCGUUAAUUGCCGACAUUAGCAGCCUUAAUUAAUCCGUUACACACGUCAUGUAUACUGUAGUAUGCCCUUAGACGUGUAUCGAAAAGUCGGUCGAUACGGUAGUAAAUAUCAGCUGACAAGUGUGGUGUGUAUUGAUCACAGCACGAGCUGUGUUAAACGUGUUUAAAGUGGAGCAAUAAUUAUACAUAAGUAGCGGCGAGUUGAAUAUUUGUUGUGUAACGUUUUGUUUUCACGAGUGAGUGAAUCAAUUACAUUAUGAAAUGGAUUAAUUAAUGUGAAUGAUAAAGGAUUAAAGACGUUUUACGGUUUACGAUAUUAAUUAAUUAUUGUGUUAGAAAACUUGUUAUUCGCAAAGAAGAUUUGAAAAUAACUGACGAUGUAAUUAAUGCGGCGUGGAUCUAAAACGUAAUUGGAAUCUAUUUACAGCACCAAUACAGGCACAGAGGUUGCAACAGAAACUACUGUUACGGAAACGUCAGUACCACAGAACAGGAAAAUCGUUUGACCUGUCGUCAACACAUAUUUAAAAUAUUUGAAAUGCAUGUACACUAUUUUUCACAUUCUUUUGUGUAAAUAUCUAUUUAUAUCAUUAGUAUCAAAAAAUUAAAGAAAAGCCAAUUAUGUGUAAGGUUGUACAUAAUAAAAGUGUUCUAAACUGUU